ACGACCUUACUUGAACAGGAUCUGUUCUAUAGGCUCGUACCUCUGUAUCCUUGAGUUCUAAGGAGACAGGAAAUCAAGCUUGGUGGAUGAACUAUGGCCAAGAGGCUAGAGCGUGAGUAACAGCACCGCCGGUACACUCGCCGGACGGCGCCGUAGAUGAUCGUUCCCGGCUGUUAAUCGCGGCUGGGAUGGCCUCUUGGCUGUCUGACAGGCU